rnacentral:rRNA from 1 species
UACGUAGGGACCAAGCGUUGUUCGGAUUUACUGGGCGUAAAGGGCGCGUAGGCGGCAAAUUAAGUCAGCUGUGAAAUCUCCGAGCUUAACUCGGAACUGUCAGCUGAUACUGAUGUGCUAGAGUGCGGAAGGGCAAUCGGAAUUCUUGGUGUGAGCGUGGAAAUGCGUAGAGUAUCAAGAGGAACACCGGUGGCGAAAGGCGACCUACGUCUGGCCCGAGCUGACUGACGC